GAUGAACGCUGGCGGCGCGCCUAACACAUGCAAGUCGAACGAUUAAAGCACCUUCGGGUGUGUAUAAAGUGGCAAACGGCUGAGUAACACGUGGGCAACCUGCCCCUUUCAUUGGGAUAGCCACGGGAAACCGUGGAUAAUACCGAAUACUUCGAGACUUCCGCAUGGAAGACUCGAGAAAGCUCCGGCGGAGAGGGAUGGGCCCGCGGCCUGUUAGCUUGUUGGUGGGGUAACGGCCUACCAAGGCAAUGAUGGGUAGCUGGGUUGAGAGACCGACCAGCCAGAUUGGGACUGAGACACGGCCCAGACUCCUACGGGAGGCAGCAGUGGGGAAUCUUGCACAAUGGGCGAAAGCCUGAUGCAGCGACGCCGCGUGCGGGAUGAAGGCCUUCGGGUUGUAAACCGCUUUCAGCAGGGACGAGGCGAAAGUGACGGUACCUGCAGAAGAAGCCCCGGCUAACUACGUG
rnacentral:rRNA from 1 species